rnacentral:rRNA from 1 species
UGCAGUCGAGCGGAACGAGUUAUCUGAACCUUCGGGGAACGAUAACGGCGUCGAGCGGCGGACGGGUGAGUAAUGCCUAGGAAAUUGCCCUGAUGUGGGGGAUAACCAUUGGAAACGAUGGCUAAUACCGCAUAAUGCCUACGGGCCAAAGAGGGGGACCUUCGGGCCUCUCGCGUCAGGAUAUGCCUAGGUGGGAUUAGCUAGUUGGUGAGGUAAUGGCUCACCAAGGCGACGAUCCCUAGCUGGUCUGAGAGGAUGAUCAGCCACACUGGAACUGAGACACGGUCCAGACUCCUACGGGAGGCAGCAGUGGGGAAUAUUGCACAAUGGGCGCAAGCCUGAUGCAGCCAUGCCGCGUGUGUGAAGAAGGCCUUCGGGUUGUAAAGCACUUUCAGUCGUGAGGAAGGUAGUGUAGUUAAUAGCUGCAUUAUUUGACGUUAGCGACAGAAGAAGCACCGGCUAACUCCGUGCCAGCAGCCGCGGUAAUACGGAGGGUGCGAGCGUUAAUCGGAAUUACUGGGCGUAAAGCGCAUGCAGGUGGUUUGUUAAGUCAGAUGUGAAAGCCCGGGGCUCAACCUCGGAAUUGCAUUUGAAACUGGCAGACUAGAGUACUGUAGAGGGGGGUAGAAUUUCAGGUGUAGCGGUGAAAUGCGUAGAGAUCUGAAGGAAUACCGGUGGCGAAGGCGGCCCCCUGGACAGAUACUGACACUCAGAUGCGAAAGCGUGGGGAGCAAACAGGAUUAGAUACCCUGGUAGUCCACGCCGUAAACGAUGUCUACUUGGAGGUUGUGGCCUUGAGCCGUGGCUUUCGGAGCUAACGCGUUAAGUAGACCGCCUGGGGAGUACGGUCGCAAGAUUAAAACUCAAAUGAAUUGACGGGGGCCCGCACAAGCGGUGGAGCAUGUGGUUUAAUUCGAU